CCUACGGGUGGCAGCAGUGAGGAAUAUUGGACAAUGGGCGAAAGUCUGAUCCAGCCAAGUAGCGUGAAGGAUGACUGCCUUCGGGUUUUUAAACUUCUUUUAUAUGGGAAUAAAAUGUUCCACGUGUGGGAUUUUGUAUGUACCAUAUGAAUAAGGAUCGGCUAACUCCGUGCCAGCAGCCGCGGUAAUACGGAGGGUCCGGGCGUUAUCCGGAUUUAUUGGGUUUAAAGGGAGCGUAGGUGGAUUGUUAAGUCAGUUGUGAAAGUUUGCGGCUCAACCGUAAGAUUGCAGUUGAAACUGGCAGUCUCGAGUGCAGUAGAGGUGGGCGGAAUUCGUGGUGUAGCGGUGAAAUGCGUAGAUAUCAGGAAGAACUCCGAUUGCGAAGGCAGCUCACUGGACUGCAACUGACACUGAGGCGCGAAAGUGUGGGGAGCAAACAGGAUUAGAUACCCCAGUAGUC
rnacentral:rRNA from 1 species